CAGCCGCCGCGGUAAUACGAAGGGUGCAAGCGUUAAUCGGAAUUACUGGGCGUAAAGCGCGCGUAGGUGGUUUGUUAAGUUGGAUGUGAAAUCCCCGGGCUCAACCUGGGAACUGCAUCCAAAACUGGCAGGCUAGAGUAGGGCAGAGGGUGGUGGAAUUUCCUGUGUAGCGGUGAAAUGCGUAGAUAUAGGAAGGAACACCAGUGGCGAAGGCGACCACCUGGGCUCAUACUGACACUGAGGUGCGAAAGCUAGGGGAGCAAAUGGGAUUAGAGACCCCCGUAGUCUCUGUCUCUUAUAC
rnacentral:rRNA from 1 species